AGAGAGAGAAAAAGCAAGAGACAAGAUGGAGUUCAAGGGCACGAGGAGGAGAUGGCUGAAGGAAGGAGGAAUGGAAAGCAGGUGCAUGGGGCUUAUGGACACAGAAGAGAGAGAAGAGGGUCAAUCAAGAGAUAAGCUGUCACGAUUUGUUCGAAGAAAACCAUUGGCUUUUAAAUAUCCUUCACGUAGGGCAGACAACAGGUCUAUACGUGGUGGUCCUGCAGCAGAGGCACUGCAGAAUACAAGCAUUUUGAUAUUAAAGUAAAAAGCCAUCAGAUUGGAUAGUGCUUCUCUGAGAAUUCAGAACAAGACAUCACAAGAGCAAAGCAAAAUGAGAAGCUGCAUGACCAUGUGUAACGUAAAGCAGAAAGAGUUGAAACUGCAUCUCAGUCCAUGCUGUCAAUUACUUAAUUGGGUGUUCAACAGUAACGGACUUCUACAGCUGAAGCUAGUAGAAGGAUGCAUUUUACAAGUUUUAGAGGAAACCUAAUUUAGACUGAAUGCUGAAAUGGGAGAGAUCAGGAAAAUUGUGCUAACCUUCACGAGAAAGUAAAUCUCCAGCAACCUCUGAGCAAAAAAGCUGCCAAAAGCCUAUAGAACAGGCAUUAACAAGCUAACUGAAGGGAUUUUCAGUUGGAGAACUACCGUCAAAGGGAAGUGGAAUAACUGACUACCAGGCAGCGCCAAGCAGAAAAGACACUGUCUGGCAACUUUUUGUUGAGUGGGAGUGUACAAGCACACACUACGAACGUCUAGUGUGUCGUAUGAGAACAUGAAAGCAAACGGUAUCCUGACAGAACGUGGUUAAUUGACUGAGAAGCUGAACAACGUUCUAAUUAAGAGAAUUAAGAGAGGUCUCACAGCCAUUUGGGAUGGCCUAGGUAUACUUUCACAGCAAGGAGAGCUCUGACUGCAGGUCAGAUACGUCCACUCCCAUAAUCCCAGCCCAAGUGGUGGAAGUGAUGCCGACACCAAAGUUAGUGGCACAGGCACCAGCCUGGGCUGUCACACCCUGCUGCUGUUCUUGUCUGUUGCCUGUCGGCAAGAGCUAGGAAGAACCUUCCUCCACUGAAGCUGCCCCCUCGUUCUGCAGGGAGGCUGCCCAGAGCACAGUUUUAGGGGCAGCUAAGGAGUCACUGCAAGCAAGGAAGAAAAAGGUUUAUCUCCCUUUUUGUCCCUGCUUCACACUCUCAAGACCUCUCCAUCAACCCUCUGAAUCUCUAGACGUGGAGAACUGUCCACCUCUUUCACUGGUUUUUCUUCCAGCCUAAUGAGCUCACCUGGCAUAAGGUAAACUGCAUCACACACCAGUGUCACCACAGGGUGAGAAACGGGAGGGUGAAAGCAGGAGGGGACACUUCCUUCUCCUUUGGCUGGCCGCCUACUUGGCAGAGCUCCUAGCACCACAGCCUUAACUCUGGGCAAAACGAUGGCAGUUUUACCAAAACGCAGGCUUUUGCCCUUCACAUCUUUUUUUAAUGUCUUGAUGCGUUUCCCAUCCUUCAGUGAUUUAAAUCCAGCAGGGAAAAUAACCUAGAGAAGCGCCGUGCCCGUUUACCAAUUAGGGUUGUUUUAAUUUGCAUGAGUAACAUUAUGCAGCCUUUACAGCUUUUUGUGUCCUCUGCAACAAGGGAACGCAAGACUCUUCUUGCAUCAAUUUGGACCCAGUCAGAUUUUAUCAAGACAGCGAGCAAUCUUUCACAGCCCCAUUGAUUUUAUGUUCUACCCUCAUUUUGCACUGAGGUUGCCUUCCAGGUCUGUAAGAGGGUGCCCGUGGAGCAGAAGUCCUCACGUCCCCAGGUUGUACCAUACCAACUGCCUUUGUUCUAAGAAAAACAACUGAUCUUUCUCCUGCCUGACCUUGAGCCUACCUGACAUCACGUUUUCAACUACAUGCACUAGCACUGGGAGGAUUAGCUCUUUAAACACAUAACCAUGCAGCAGGCAAAGGAGUUUUUACUAUGUAAAAAUUACUAAUGUGAUAUUUCUUUCUGCACGUGUACCCCUCUGAACCCAUUGAACAAAAUGCCAGACAAACAGUGUUUUCUCAAGUGGCCAAACCAGAAGGUGGCUGUGCAAAUGGAGUAGAAGAGUAGAGGUUAUAAUAAAGGUGGCAAGAAAACACCA
rnacentral:lncRNA from 1 species